UGUUCGUAUGCGAGAGGUACCAAUAGAACGGGACCUUGGAAGGGAAUCUGGGCAGUUCUUAGGUCGUUAAAUCUAUUCUGCAUUAUCAUCCUCGUUCCCUGUUUCAAUUUCCCUCUUUCCCUCUCGCAACCGCGUCACGCCACGUCUUCCGUAAUGUUCCAGAACAAGAGUGUCUCGAUCUCCUUGUCGGAUGAGGAAUCCGACGAGCUGGGUCGGAUGCGGGUCCGCGCGCGACGGAAGCGCAAGAAACUCGGCAACAGAAGAUUGCUCCGGAAGCUAUUCGUCAGAUACUGGAUGCUGCUCGUCAUUGUUCCAGCUGCGGGAUUGUUCAUAUUCGAGGCCACCAGAAUUGGGCGAAGCUUGAAUGGUUUAAACACGAACAGCCGCAUAGAAACACGCACUCACAGAAUAGAUGGAUCUAGUCCCACAUUGCGGAAGGCCCCCACCAACUUGAAUCGCCUCGAUCCUACCACACAUGUUGUGGCUGGCAUCAGAGAGCGUUGCUUGAAGCUCCUACCUCCUGAAAAGCUUGAGCAGCUGGAUAUACCUGUGGAACAAGAAUCUUCUAGAAUUCCUGUUGGUGAAGUUUUAUACAUGUCAGAGAGUGAUAGGUCUUUUGUAGGUGCGAAUGUUACGUUGUCUCAAUUGCGUACAGAGGACACACGGUUUAAUUUAUUUACUGGAAAUCAAACAUUUGAGGAGAGAGAUAGAAGUUUUGAGGUGAAAGAAACUAUGACGGUACAUUGUGGGUUUUUCAGUGUGAAUGGUGGGUUUAAGAUAUCUGAUCAAGAUAAAAGUUACAUGCAAGGUUGCAAAGUCGUGGUAUCUACUUGUGCAUUUGGUGGUGGAGAUGAUCUCUAUCAGCCAAUUGGAAUGUCUGAGGCUUCGCUUAAGAAGGUUUGCUAUGUUGCAUUCUGGGAUGAAAUCACCGUCAAAGCGCAGGAGUUGGUGGAGCGUAGAAUCGGGGAAAAUGGCUUUAUUGGAAAUUGGCGUGUUGUUGUUGUUCGAGAUCUUCCUUUUGCCGAUCAAAGGUUGAAUGGUAAAAUUCCCAAGAUGUUAAGUCAUCGCCUUUUUCCUCAAGCUAAAUACUCAAUUUGGGUAGACUCUAAGUCCCAAUUCCGGAGAGACCCACUAGGUGUGUUGGAAACACUUCUUUGGCGCCCAAAAUCUUUGCUUGCCAUAUCAGAACAUGGAGCUCGCAGUAGUGUCUACGAUGAGGCUAAGGCUGUUGUCAAGAAGAACAAAGCCAAGCCAGAGGAAGUUGAAGUGCAACUGAAUCAAUACAGAAAAGAUGGCUUGCCAGAAGACAAGAGAUUUAAUGGGAAAAAAGCUCUAUGCGAAGCCUCUGUUAUCAUCAGGAAGCAUACACCCCUAACUAAUCUAUUGAUGUGCGUCUGGUUUAAUGAGGUGGUUCGCUUCACUUCUAGGGAUCAGCUCAGCUUCCCUUAUGUCCUGUGGAGGCUGAAAGCAUUCCAAAACAUCAAUACUUUUCCAGUUUGUACUCGCAAAGAUCUUGUCAAUAGUAUGGGCCAUGUCCGCAAGGCCAAACCUUUGCAAGGCUGAUUUAGUUAAAUUGGUUGAGAGCAAUGGCUACCUACAUUUAUCUAUUUCAUUCCUUAUUUCAGUAGUUUCUUUAGCCAAUCUGAAUCAGGAACAGGUUUGCUGAAGGAAGCUAAAUAUCAUCCGUGCAUGAAUGCUGAGAUAUGCGAAGAUGUACUAUUGAUGAAGGGGAGAAAGAUAAAAAUGACCUUCAUUUUAAUGGAAACUAAACACGUCUAUGUAUGUGAUUCAUUUUUAAAUUACAUAAAUAUUAGAUAUUAUACAUAGAUCAUUCUGAUAAAUUA